UUUGAGGAGAAUGUGGGGAAUGAACAUGAAUAACUAGCAUGGAUAAAUAGAUUCGCAAUCAGUGACAUAACGAUAUUUAUGAGCCGUCUAGUUUCACAGAUAAUUCCACCUGGUGGUGCGGAUAAAAGUAGGAUAGAAAAUAACAGAACCAAAACGUUGAAAAACGCAUUGCUUGGCUUAAAGGUCAUAACAUUAUUCUAUUCAAUGGAAAAAAAUGUUUGGUAGUUGAACGAGAUUGCUUCUCAACGCAAUGUUUUAUUUUCACUACGAAAUGUUCUCAUGCUUCUAAUCUAUGACUUCUACUUUACAUGCUGUUGAUUCAGGUGGUGUUUUUGUACCAAAGUGGGGGGUCUAAGUCGUUAGUACUAUUGUCCUUCUUCUGGUUAGUACUGACAGUUUGUAUUACAUUUUAAGUGGGAUCGUAGUAACUAAAUGGGGGUACAUAAAACUGGUACUACUAAACAGAUUUAUCUAAGUUGUGAACAAAUUUCAAUAAACAAACGAAUGUAUAAUCUCAUCGGCAAGAAAAUAAUUUUUUACGUCAAUCACUUAUUUCACUUCUUUAUUUUAUUUUGAAUAUAUCAAAUGUAAUCAAGUUUAGAAACGUAGACGGGUUCAUGUAUGAGCUUUCUUCGUUUCAUUUGCAUAUAUAUCCUUUGUAAGAUUCUGUUACUUUGAAUAUGUUUUCUUUAUAAGUUGUAGAUGGUAAUUGCUACUCUUUAAAUACAAGCUGUCUUCUACAAUAAUUUUAAUUUUACCAGAGUAUUUUUAAUUAUCCUCAUGCGAGUAAUUUUCUAAUUAUGUGGUGUAACAAAAA